UGAGAUCUUUUUCUUGGCCUCCUGUGUCAAUAGUACUUUAACAAGUUGAAUAUAGUAAUAUUAAGAAGUGAAGGUACACACACAAUGCCGACGCUCUGGCUCUACAGAAAUUUCCAUUAACAAAAUGAAAAGAAAAAACAAAACAAAACAUUCACUCUCUACAGAGAUGAUCAUUCCAGAAUUCAUUGGCUGCACCAUAUGCUUUCGAUCGUCAACCAACUAAUGGCUGCAUACUCUGCAUUGACUAGAUCAAGAGACAAAUUACGAAGGUUUAACAACUUGUGACUAAGGGGGUAGUGCUAGUACAAUUAUAAAUGUAGCUUGCAACAAAUGAUCCAUUGAUGCCUCAUAUGACAAGGUAACGUAAAAACAAACUAGACAACUACAAGAUGCAUCCUAGAUCACUAAUCCAACAUACUCAAGGUACAGUAAGUAUGGACCAGUCUUCUAAUUAAAAGUACAGAACUGAGUAAGUUUAAUCAAUUAUGCAAUGAGAGUCUCCAAACAAGAAUCCCUGCACACUCAGCGACUCCACUAUGCCGUUUCUGACAUUAAUUAAAUCAUGAUAAGACAAAUGAGCAGCCUAGCAUAUUUAUGCUGCAAGGAAACAAUUUACAAGUGCUUAUGCAUGCCACGCGCAUCUGGAAGGCAACAAAGAGGGUAUGUGACAAUUUAGUAACUUGCAACAAAAAUAUGGAAUGGGAUGCUGCAUAGCACAUACAAAUGUGUUUUGAUCAAGGAACAAGAUGCAACAAGUCAGCUGAUACUAGGUGCUGUAAAUUUCUACCCAAGAGAAGUAGUGGAUGAUUCAAGACAUGAAUCCGAAGAUUUGUUCUGCAUCUACUCAGGAUGCAACAACAAUCUCGCCUCGAAGUGCAAGUAUCACUUUGUAAUUCCAGCCGAUUACGAGUCCGGGAAGCAAUUGGACAAUCUUUUUGACAAGGAUAAUUACUUUUUUAAAGAUUGAACACACCUCUUACAUGGGUUGCUCCACAACAAUGGGAUCGGCCACCUCAUAUGUAUCAAUGGGAUUAAUGAGGGUUCUGCUUUCAUCAUGCAUCUAUAGGAUUUACUUUGCCUUUAUUUUCAGGCGAGAUAAUUAUCAUUUUUAUAUUAGUUGUUUCAUAUUUUUGUUAUAUAUAAAACAUAUUAAUUGAAUCUGACUUUGUGAUUUAUAGGAAAAUAACUAUCUGUGAUGAAGCAUGUAAAGCAUUUAGGCAUAUCACAUUGAUAGACGGUCUCCGUGAGACGUGCGAGGGGCCCAUGGAGACUAGGUUGUUGUUUAUUGUGGCUUUUGGUAGUACCUAGUUUGGGAGGUAGGGAUACACGUUUCCACGUGAAAGCUAUGAGGUGUCAAGAGAUACCUACCCAACCGCCAUUGAGUCCCUUGAGUCUCUUUCGUUGACCGAGGUUGAAGAAAUUGUAGAAAAAUACAAGAAGAUGUGCCUUACUCCCCUACAGUGCAUGAGAGAUUUAUUAUCUUUCGUGCUGCAAAUAAGGUGUGGCGCGAGGGGCCGAAAGAGAACGAAUCUAAAUAAAGAUUUGUGGACGGUGUAUGAUGAGGUUUUAAUGCUGAGGAAAAUUCACGUCCAAAAAACUUUGCAAUUCAAGAUAGUUUGGAUGUGAUUUUUCCUCCUCAUUAAAACCUCAUCAUACACCGUCCACAAAUCUUUAUUUAGAUCCGUUCUUUUUCGGCCUCUCGUGCCACACCUCAUCUGCAGCACGAAAAAUAAUAAAUCUCUCAUGCACUCUAGGGGUGUAAGACACAUCUUCUUGUAUUUUCCUACAAUUUCUUCAACUUCAAUCAACGAACGAGACCUAAGGUACCCAAUAGCGGUUGUGUAGGUACCUCUUGACACCCCAUAGCUUCCACGUAGAAACGUGUAUCCCAACCUCCCAAACCACAUACUACCAAAAGCCACACUAAACAACAACCUAGUCUCCAUGGCCCCCUCGCACGGCUCACAGAGACCAUCUAUCAAUGUGAUAUGCCUAAAUGCUUUACAUGCUUCAUCACAUGCAGUUAUUUUCCUAUACAUCACAAAAUCAAAUUCAAUUCAUAUGUUUUAUAUAUAACAAAAAUAUAAAACAACUAAUAUAAAAACGAUAAUUACCUAACCUGAAAAUAAAGGCAAAGUAAACCCCAUAGAUGCAUGAUGUCUCGACCAGUUAUGAAAGCAGAACCCUCAUUAAUCCAAUUGACACAUAUGAGGCGGCCGAUCCCGUUGUUGUUGAGCAACCAAUGUAUAAGGUGUGUCCAAUCUUUAAAAAAGUAAACAUCCUUGUCAAAAGGAUCGUCCAAUUGCUCCCCGGACUCGUAAUCGGCUGAAAUUACAAAAUGAUACUUGCACUUCGAGACGAGAUUGUUGUUGCAUCUUGGGUAGCUGCAAUAGAUGCAGAACAAAUGUUCUUCAUAUUCAUGUCUUGAAUCAUCCACUACGUCUUUGAGAAUGAAGAGUGGAACUGUCCUCUUAACACAUCCUUCCUUGUGAACCAACUCCCAUUUCCAUACAUGCCCUUCUUGGACAACAUCGGUCAGCCACGAAAGCCUUAAUAUUUCCAUGAAUGAAUCUAACAAGGGUUUUUGGAUGACACUUUCAGACUUUAAAUUGGAAUUGUCAAAGUUGAUAUGUGAAAUUUGGGUAGUCAUUCUCCUGUACAAAACCACAUGAAAAAAAAAAAA